UGAAAUUUUAGUCGCGAUUCACUGUUUAU
rnacentral:piRNA from 1 species